rnacentral:lncRNA from 1 species
CAUCUAUGAGUAACCCUGCUGUUCCCCCCAACCCCGGGAGGAGCGAACGAAAAACUCUAGGGGCCCCUAUCCUACAACCCUGAUUGUAGACCUCCAGACUUUCCUAUUGAGUGUCAUAUCCUCGGAAACCUGCAUUCUAGCCAUGUCCUGCCUAAUCACCUCUCCCCAAUACUUCUUAGGCCUCCCUCUGCCUCGCCGACCACCAACAAUCUCCAGCCG